rnacentral:sRNA from 12 species
UUCCCCUCGGCGAAAGAGUGCCCUCAUUGGGCGCGUGCCAGGUGGUUGAAUGCUCUGCAUAAGAGCCAUAACCUGGAUAGCCGAGGCGGUUUUAU